CUACCACAGCCACAGAACCUGCGAUCUGAGCCACAUCCACAACCUAGGUCACAGCUUGUGGCAAUGCCGGAUCCUUAACUCAGUGAUCAAGGCCAGGGAUCCAACCGAAUCCUCAAGGACACACUAGUUGGGUUCUUAAACCACUGAGCCAUAACGAGAACUCCCAAUUUUAAUCCAUUGGACCAUCUCAUUUGGCUGAGAAUUAGUCUGAAGCAAUACUACCACCUUGUGGUUUCACUUUGAAUAUAACAACUUGAAGAAGAUGGUUUGGACUCACCUAUUAAAUUAGGUUAGGUGGUUCAAAUAUGCCUAUUUUAGGAAACAAGUUUAAUAAUACUGCAUAACAUGUUUAAGUUAACUAAUAUUUAUGGCAUUGGCCUUAAAAACCUGUAAUUCAACACAUUCUCACAAUAAUUAUCUGUUUGAUGCCCAAGUACAAGAACAAAACAGUGAAAAAAAUGAAUAAAAAGACUUUCAUUCAUAGAUGUUACACUUUAGUGAGAGGAAGUAGAUAAUAAAUGAGCAUAAUAAGCAAAUAAAUUACAUGUUCAGGCCGGAAUUCCCGUCGUGGCGCAGUGGUUAACGAAUCCGACUAGGAAUCAUGAGGUUGAGGGUUCGGUCCCUGCCCUUGCUCAGUGGGUUAAGGAUCUGGCGUUGCUGUGAGCUGUGGUGUAGGUUGCAGACGCGGCUCGGAUCUCGCAUUGCUGUGGCUCUGGCGUAGGUCGGUGGCUACAGCUCUGAUUCGACCCCUAGCCUGGGAACCUCCAUAUGCCGCGGGAGCGGCCCAAAGAAAUAGCAAAAAAGACAAAACAAACAAACAAACAAACAAACAACAACAAAAACAAAACACCUAAAUAAAUAAAUAAAGGGCCGAUCAGCUUUCCCCCUUUCGAACAAAACAAAACAAAAGCAACCUUUGCCUUGCAAGGAAAGUUUCUGUGAACUUAAGAUUUGAGAAGGGGAGGCGAGAGCAGUAGACGAAUCUAGUUCAAAGCUAGGCAGCUGGAAGAUUUGAAAAUUGAAGUCAAAAUGGUCUAACUACUGUCAAACCCUUACAUUACUCCCAACCCAUGCCCCUCGAGGGAACAAGUCUCCAACCCAGAGCCCAAGCUCUGGUCCAGCCUGUCACACUGCAGAUCCCGGAAGGGUGCUCAGGUGCUCAGGGACAGGCGGAAGAAAAAGGGGAGGGACUCUAACGCUGACCUUGCAGGACACUGCGACGCCAAAAAUCUUGUUAGCGGCUGCAGGUGUAAGGCUGCUCCGCAUUGGUGGCUCGGGGCUCUUCCCAUUAUUAUUACGUAGCCCUAUUUCCUAAUCGGAGAAAGGACCCAGGUAAAGUUGGGUCAACCCCCGCAAGCCUCCUCAGGACCAACAAUUGCUACGCCGUCGCAGGCAGCGCCGGUGUCCAGUCAGGCUGCAGCAUCGAGGCC
rnacentral:lncRNA from 1 species